GGGCCCAUAGCUCAGCCUGGUUAGAGCGCCGGACUCAUAAUCCGUUGGUCCAAGGUUCAAAUCCUUGUGGGCCCACCA
rnacentral:tRNA from 1 species